CCCACCUCUGCCCACGCCAGUGCCACCUUCUUCCCCCAUGCCUUGUUUGAAGCUUGGAAUUUUGCCCGAAGGUUGGAUUUUUGUGCGGCGGCCUAGCGAGGUGUCCAUCCCCGAGGACCACUAGCCAUGGCGGCCGCCGUCCAUGUCUACCUCCUCCGUCAGCCUCCUCCUCGAGUGCCCCCUCCUCCGUCUGCCGCCUCGUCAACCCGGUCUCUUCUCCUCGCCGUGGCGCUCCCCCCUCUCCGCUCCUCCCUCCGCGUCGGCACCUGCCAACUACCCAGCGACCCCUGCUGGCCCUCUCGUCCGACCACCUGCUCGCUGUCAACCAUGAAGCCCUCCCCCUCCAUGGACGUCGUCGACCCAAGCACUGGGAAGCACGGGUGGUCAAGGUGGAGGAGCUCGCCGGAGCACUACGCGCUCAAGGCGUCCACAACACCUCCACGUGCUCAAGUCCAGAGCUCGCCGGAGCUUCAGAUCCAGAUGAAGGCUCAAUGCUGCAUUGUUGACUGGCACAUCAGGGGCAACCAGCAGACCAUAAAAUUACAAAUGAUUUCUCCGCGGAGCGGAAGAUUGGUGGAGGUCCAUUCGGAAACGUUUAUAAGAUGAUGGCAGAGUGAUUGCGGGGAAGAAACAUCAGCAAAACGCACCGAUGCCGCCUGACAAGACAUUCAACAAUGAGAGACUAAUGAAGAUAAUGGAUAGUGCAAAGGAGUCUAUUUGGAUAAUGGAAGGGGAAUCAGAUUGCCUCGGGGGACAAAUUUGACUAAGCCUUAGUUGUUGUUGCUGCUACAAUUUCAGCAAGCAAGCAUUUCAUCAAAGACACACAUACACAAACAUAAAUGCAGUCUUGUGGAUCCACACAGGCUGCUGCAGUUGAAGACCACACUGGAAUUUGGACUUCAGUUUAAAUUUUAGCUUCAAGUUCAUCAGAAGUUGGGAGCACAUGCAGCAUCACUGAAUUUAAAUGUGUACACUGAACUUUUACAGGCAGCAGCACUGAACUUUAACUCUUGCGGCACAGGCGGGCAGCAGCGGCGAGGGGUGGGGCGGCAAAAGGCAGCGGUGGCGGGGCUCGAUCAGGCACCCGGUCGUCUCGCCGGUGGGCAGGCCCGCGUGGCCCUGCCUGCCGGAGUCGCCAGAGAGAGGAGCGGUGGCCGCGGGCGCGAGGAAGCAGCCUGGGACGUGAGCAGCAGCAUGCACUCCUGGUCCAGGCGAUCGACACCCAGGAGCACGCAGAGCUCGAGGAGGACGACCUCAACCGGAUCACAGUGGGAGGCUCCGGCGACGCUCGGGGGGGGAUUCUUGGCAGGAGGGGAACGCGCAGAGGGGAUCGUGGCUGGAGGGGAACGCGUGGAGGUGGUCGUGGAGUGAGGGGAAUGCGUCGGCGCGGUUCCUCAGCAGCAGCGGAGCAGUUCCUGGCCGGCGCACGUCCUGGCCAGCGCAGGUGAAGAAUCCUACGACGGCACCUUUGGCGACGCGCGGAAUCGUGCAGGUGCAGAUGGGUGGCGGCGGUGGAAUCAGAGGCGCAGGUGGCGGGCGGGCGGCGGAAUCAGAGGCGCAAGUGGGCUCGUGCUAGUGGACGGCAGUGAAAUCAGCUGGUUGCGCCUGGCCAGGCGAUGCACGGGGACGACCGAGGAAGAAGAUGGAGACAUGAAUCUAUUUGAGAUAGUUUUAAAACUCGGAGGGCUUUUUUGCAAAAACACCAGUACACUUCGCGUUGGACAACUUUUUCCGGACGGAGGGAGUAGUACUAAUCUAAGCUAGGGCCGGCCACUAAUGGGCAUAGCCCAACCGGCCACACGCAUGAUGCACACAUACACACACAGGAGCACACGGCCAUGGCCAACUGUACGCACACACACUAUGCAGAACACACACUCACCCACAAAUAGCUCUGUUUUCUGCUAACAAAAGAUAGCAUUUUGUGAUUUUCAUCAAAUUUAAUCUAUGCACUAAAAGGAUUUGGUCCAAUGGAAACAUUUGAGCAUUGUCAAGUGUACUACCUCCCCAUAAUUUUUUUAGUCCUGUUAGUAGCUGUUUAGCCUGAGUUUAGGGGCUGUUUAGGGGCUUAGUCAACGUAGAAAUCCAAAAGCUAACUAGUAGCAGCUACAGUAGGUAGUAGUAGUACAAUAGAGCAGCGAGCAGCAUGGGCAGUGGCAUGGCUCGGGCGCCAUACGCGUUCGGGCGCGGCAGCCGCAACGGCAGGCGAGGCCAUACUCGGGCGGGCGCGGGGUGCGGCUCAAUGGGCGCGGUGAGGCUGGCCGACAGCAGCAGGCACGGCCGUGGGCGAGCAGGCGGCAGCACACAGUGCCAUCAGGGGCGAGCAGCGAGGACGCAACAGCAGCAAAGCAUCAGCAGCAGCCGAGCAAGUGCGGGGAUGGCUCGGGCGCGGCCGGCGCGAGGACUGGGCGGCAGCGGCAGGCGCGGGCCACAGCAGCAGCAGCGUCGCAAGCAAAGCAGCGCAGCAGCUGCACGCAUGUACGCGUACGCGAGAGUUCGAGCACGACGGUGAUGGCGGCCUACGGCAUGCAAACGAAGGGGAGGGACAGAGGGAUUGGACGGGCGGCUCACUGGGAUCCCGUAGGGGUGCAAAGGCGGGCUCAGGGAGGAUCGACAGCGCCGGAGUCGUUGACGAACGGCGACGUCCGAAGGAGGAAGGAGAGCUCGAUCCCCGCGAUGUGGGGCUCUCCAUCUUGGUCUCGUGGAUCCAGGCGACGAAGCAGACCACGGCGGGGCGGAGGGACAUGUCCUUAGGCAUCGGGGAGGAGGGUAGCCAUGCCGGCGAGGGCAACCCUGGCGACGACGGCGUCGGACGCGGUUGGAUCUGGAGGAGGGGGUGUAGCGAGAGGGGGGAGAGGAGGA